UUCCAUUAAGGGACAUGAAAUAGAUCCUAAAUUUAUAUUAUAUAGAUAUAGAUUAUACUAUUUGCAUUAACUUAUAAAAAAAUAAUCAAAGACAUGUUACCGUAUUAAGAAAAAAACAUGACAAUAAAUAUUAAUACUAAUAAUAUCAUUCAUAAAUCUCGUGCACGGGGUGACAAUAAAUCCACUGAUCAAUGAAUUAUAUUAGAGGUUAUUUCUUCCCACAUUUUCCGUGAAGGAAACAGCUGCGCAGAUAGGUUCGCUUCUAUGGGUCACUCCAGUGUUGGUGUGGUCUGGCUAGACACUCUUCCUAUUGAUUUAAGGCUUCAUUUCUAUAGGGAUAGCUGUACACUUCCAAAUUACAGAUUCCCAUGAUCUGUUUUUUGGCUGCUUUUUCUUGUUUCUUCUAUUUAUUUUCUAUUUCCUUCUCUUUUUGUUUUUUGAGGGUUUUGGUCUAGUCCCCUCUCCUUUUGUAUUUAUUUUUUUCCCCUUUUUUAAUAAAUUUUUUAGAGCGUGGCGGCAUAGGAUGGGGGUCUCUCGGGAUGCCAACCUAGUUGGGAUGUCGAUGAUGCCUCUUGAUGUCUGUCUACGUUCCUUGCUUAUCAAAAAAAAAAAAUAUAUCAUUCAAUUCUCCUCCAAAAUGUUUUUGUUAUUAUUAUUCCUAUAAUUAUAUGAUUUUCCAUAUUCUUAAAUAAUAUCUUUUCUUUGGCUUAAAUAUCAUUUUGGUCCCUUAAUUUAGUUUAAAGUACAGUUUUGUCCCAUAACAUUAGAAAUGGUCAUUUUGGUUGAUUAACUUAUUUUAAGAUUAUAGUUUGGUCUCUUAACUUUAAUAUCAGUCAAUUUAAUCUCUUAACUUUUGUAAAUUAGUGCAACUUGAUCCCUUUCCGUAUGUAAUUAACGAAGUUUGGUCUUUCAAUAGAUGUAUAUGAUAUUAAAUUUUCAUAAGUUAAAUGACCGAGUUGGUUUUUACGGACCUUAUACUUAAGCAUUAUUCAUUUAAAAUAUGCCAAAAUUGAGGCUUUCAUUUUGAAUAAAAAAUUAAGAUUUUUUUUAAUGAUUGCUAUCUGAAUUCAAAAUUUAAAAUGUUAACAAAACUGAUACUACUAUUAGUACAUAUUAAUAGCAAAAAGAGUGGCGAGUUGUGAAAUUUCCUUUUAAGAUACUUUUUGUAUAAACUAAACCUUGUCAUUUAUUUUCAUUUAUUUUAUUUAAAAUAAAUAUAAUUAAUUUCCAUUUUAAUGAUUAUAAAUUGUAAUAUUCACAUCAAUGUGUUCAUUAACAUCCCAUUAAUUUGGCAUUCCUUAAAAAAAACCAUUAAUUUGUCAUGACUAAUAUCCACUACACACUAAUAUUCGACAAUUGACUCAACAUUAAUCUUGACAGAAAAAACAUUGACAUACAUCUCUGAAUUAAUCCUUCACAUACAUAUGUAAGGAAUAUCAUAGUGGCAUAGUGGAAAAAGAACAAUCCCAGAAAGGAGAUAUUACAUGUUACCCUACUUUUUUUAAUAUAUUAUUUAAAACUAAUAACUUUGAGUUUAUAAAAAAAAUUGGAAUAUGGGUAAUUGGUUGAUGAUACAAUUACCGUGUAGUUAAAAAUAAUCAUGUGCUACAAAACUUCAUUGAAAAAUUAAAACCGUGGGAUUCUUUUUAAGAGCUAAAACCGUGUGAUGAUCCUUUCUUUAAAAGAACCGUCUAAUGAUCUAAUCUUGUCUUUUUACUUGAUGAAGUAAUUGCACAAUUUUAGAAUUCUAGUAAUAGAUAAAAAAAAAGUCUCCAAUCUAAAGAGUAUGUAUGAUUUUGGUUGACCAAUAUGAGAGAAUAAAAAGGUUGUCUUAAAAGGUCACAAAAAUGGAUGUACAAUAUUACUACAUUUUUCAUUAUUACCACUUAAAAAUUAAAAACCACUUCGAGUUUGAUCUCAAUUCAAACAAUCUGUGAAAAUGUGAUGCGUUUCAACGGAUUUGUUUCCCUCUCAGUAUAAAUUGGAAGAAUAAAGUAAAACCAAAUCUAAGCAACAAAUGAAAAUAUAAAAGAAAAAAAUGUUAAAAAGUAAAAUAGCAACAUAAGAAAUCACAAAAAAAAAAAAAAAAAGAAGAAUAUAAAUAUGAAUCAGUAGAUAGAAAAAGUAGUGAGUAUUAACUAUUAAGGUAUUAAAAUGAAAUAGAAGGGAGUAGAAAGUUGCGAUAUUUUAAUGUAGUAACAACAAUCCUUCAUAUACCUUUUAAUUGAUGCAUUUCUUCUUUUCGUUUGAUUGGGUUCCAUGUCCAAAAUAAAAAUUCGGUCGAAAACAAAGAAC
rnacentral:lncRNA from 1 species